rnacentral:rRNA from 1 species
GAUGAACGCUGGCGGCGUGCCUAAUACAUGCAAGUCGAGCGAACGGACGAGAAGCUUGCUUCUCUGAUGUUAGCGGCGGACGGGGGAGUAACACGUGGAUAACCUACCUAUAAGACUGGGAUAACUUCGGGAAACCGGAGCUAAUACCGGAUGAUAUUUUGAACCGCAUGGUUCAAAAGUGAAAGACGGUCUUGCUGUCACUUAUAGAUGGAUCCGCGCUGCAUUAGCUAGUUGGUAAGGUAACGGCUUACCAAGGCAACGAUGCAUAGCCGACCUGAGAGGGUGAUCGGCCACACUGGAACUGAGACACGGUCCAGACUCCUACGGGAGGCAGCAGUAGGGAAUCUUCCGCAAUGGGCGAAAGCCUGACGGAGCAACGCCGCGUGAGUGAUGAAGGUCUUCGGAUCGUAAAACUCUGUUAUUAGGGAAGAACAUAUGUGUAAGUAACUGUGCACAUCUUGACGGUACCUAAUCAGAAAGCCCCGGCUAACUACGUG